UAUAUAAAGCAUGCUGAGGCAGCGGCGCGUCAUUUCUGGCACUUAUGUGUGGGUGUGGGGAGCUACUACGUACCCGGCUUAAAGAACUGGAAGGCUCCGUCACUUUUCGCCCCCUGGAGCCUGGAGCUUGGAGCCUGGAGCCUGGGGCACUCCCUCCCUGUUGGUGGUGGUGGUGACGGAGCGGUAGGAGGGAGGCUAGCAGCGAGAGCUUCUCCUGCCGGGCUGGAAGACAGAAAGAAGAGGCACCGCCGCGUGCUGGAGGCUGGAGCCGGAGCUUGCGCCUCCGCGGCUCGCCUCGCUGCGGUUGGUGGUGAAAUCAGAGACCGCAGCUCGGCCACAGUGGUAGAAAUGUGGUAGGGUAGGUUUCUCUGGCUUUGCCUGCGCAACUGCUCCCAGCCAGGCUGGAGGAGGAGGAGGAGUCACCUGUGGUAUGCUGGAGCCUGUAGAUGGCGUGGCUCUGCAGCUUGCCUCAUGAGGUUGGUGGCAGC
rnacentral:lncRNA from 1 species